GGAUGCGAACAAAUCAUACUUACUUCAAAUAGCCCGAACUGGUCAUUUGACCUACUUAUUGUUCAAGACUUGUGUCUUCAGUCUUAUACAUGUACCAGUUACUAUCAUGUAACUAGACAUGUAUCUCAAUGUGCCAAUACAGGCAUAAAAACAUUACUGCGAUGUACAGAUACUGAGUGAGGACAGUAUCAUGAUGUACCAAUAUUGGGUGAGGACAGUAUCACAAUCUACAAAUAUUGGGUGAGGACAUUAUCGCGAUGUACCAAUAUUGGGUGUUGACAGUAUCGCGAUGUACCAAUAUUGGGUGAGGACAGUAUCACAAUGUACCAAUAUUGGGUGAGGACAGUAUCGCGAUGUACCAAUAUUGGGUGAGGACAUUGGGGUGUACCAAUAUUGGGUGAGGACAAUAUUGCAAUCUA